GAGUGUCAGUCAGAUCGCGGAUUCAUAUGCAGUUAUUCAUAUGUAGCGUUUAUGUGGAAGUGAAAGUCCGUGACAAAAUAUUACCUCAAGUACACCACUAUGUGAAAAUGGUCACUCUUGUGCAAUACAUGACCAAAUCUGAUGACUCCCAACUCCCCGACCAAAGUACUGCAGCAGUCAAUAACAUAUCCACAAGAGUUAAAUGGGGCACUUUCUAUAUGAGAGUUCAACCUUUCUGUCUUGAGAGAUUCACACCUUUCAGAUUCCCAACUUUAUGAUAUUGUUCAGAAUUUGGUUGGAGAAAAUUAGGAGAUUGGGGCAAAUGCUGUUCGGUCCAGGCUUGCAGCUAUAAAUAUUCGAGUGCCGCGAAGGAGACUUGGACUGUAUGAACCCAAGGACACUGAGACUGACAGACCCAGUUCCUGCUGCCAUGAAGCUCAUCACACCAUGAUCUACUGGCCUCCCAUCAUCCUGAUGCCCUGCCAAUGUCUGACCAGCAACCACCCGCUGCUUCCCUUU